rnacentral:rRNA from 1 species
CGCCCGUCGCUCCUACCGAUUGGGUGUGCUGGUGAAGUGUUCGGAUUGGCUGCCGGGUGCGGUCUCCGCUCUCGGUCGCCGAGAAGUUUAUUAAACCCUCCCACCUAGAGGAAGGAGAAGUCGUAACAAGGUUUUC